rnacentral:rRNA from 1 species
GAUGAACGCUGGCGGCGUGCCUAAUACAUGCAAGUCGAGCGAACGGACGAGAAGCUUGCUUCUCUGAUGUUAGCGGCGGACGGGUGAGUAACACGUGGAUAACCUACCUAUAAGACUGGGAUAACUUCGGGAAACCGGAGCUAAUACCGGAUAAUAUUUUGAACCGCAUGGUUCAAAAGUGAAAGACGGUCUUGCUGUCACUUAUAGAUGGAUCCGCGCUGCAUUAGCUAGUUGGUAAGGUAACGGCUUACCAAGGCAACGAUGCAUAGCCGACCUGAGAGGGUGGUCGGCCACACUGGAACUGAGACACGGUCCAGACUCCUACGGGAGGCAGCAGUAGGGAAUCUUCCGCAAUGGGCGAAAGCCUGACGGAGCAACGCCGCGUGAGUGAUGAAGGUCUUCGGAUCGUAAAACUCUGUUAUUAGGGAAGAACAUAUGUGUAAGUAACUGUGCACAUCUUGACGGUACCUAAUCAGAAAGCCACGGCUAACUACGUGCCAGCAGCCGCGGUAAUACGUAGGUGGCAAGCGUUAUCCGGAAUUAUUGGGCGUAAAGCGCGCGUAGGCGGUUUUUUAAGUCUGAUGUGAAAGCCCACGGCUCAACCGUGGAGGGUCAUUGGAAACUGGAAAACUUGAGUGCAGAAGAGGAAAGUGGAAUUCCAUGUGUAGCGGUGAAAUGCGCAGAGAUAUGGAGGAACACCAGUGGCGAAGGCGACUUUCUGGUCUGUAACUGACGCUGAUGUGCGAAAGCGUGGGGAUCAAACAGG